rnacentral:rRNA from 1 species
CCUUGCCAGCCCGCUCAGAAACUUAAAUGAAUUGACGGGGCCCGCACAAGCGGUGGAGCAUGUGGUUUAAUUCGAUGAUACGCGAGGAACCUUACCUGGGCUCGAACGUAAGAUGACUGUAGGUGAAAGCUUACAUCUCUUCGGAGCAUUUUACGAGGUGCUGCAUGGUUGUCGUCAGCUCGUGCCGUGAGGUGUCGGGUUAAGUCCCAUAACGAGCGCAACCCCUACCUUUAGUUGCCAUCAGGUUAAGCUGGGGACUCUAAAGGAACUGCCUACGCAAGUAGUGAGGAAGGCGGGGAUGACGUCAAAUCAGCACGGCCCUUACGUCCAGGGCUACACACGUGCUACAAUGGCCGAUACAGAGGGCAGCUACCUGGUGACAGGAUGCAAAUCUCCAAAGUCGGUCUCAGUUCGGAUCGGAGUCUGCAACCCGACUCCGUGAAGUUGGAUUCGCUAGUAAUCGCGCAUCAGCCAUGGCGCGGUGAAUACGUUCCCGGGCCUU